UAGUCAUAUGCUUGUCUCAAAGAUUAAGCCAUGCAUGUCUAAGUAUAAACGCCUUUAUACUGUGAAACUGCGAAUGGCUCAUUAAAUCAGUUAUAGUUUAUUUGAUAGUACCUCUUUACUACAUGGAUACCCGUGGUAAUUCUAGAGCUAAUACAUGCGAAAAAUCCCGACUUUUGUGGAAGGGAUGUAUUUAUUAGAUAAAAAACCAACUUCCUCUCCCCGCAAGGGGGGGGGAAACCCCCAUUCUUUUGGUGAUUCAUAAUAACUUGUCGAAUCG
rnacentral:rRNA from 1 species